UGAGGCACAAGUGUAAAGUGGCAUGGCCCC
rnacentral:piRNA from 1 species